rnacentral:lncRNA from 1 species
AUGUACUUACAUGUACAAAAUCCCAAGGUUGUCCCAGACUUCCUAGGUUCUCUACUGCAACCCCCACCUGAAAAUGAAAUCAGCUCUUCUCAUCUAUGCUUGAAGAACUCCAGUGAUGGAGCAAACUCACCUUUUCCCAAAGCAGAAAGUUCUCUGCAGAAUAGUAGUCAUUUAUCAGGAAAUUAUUUGUUUAAUCUAGCUAAAAUUGACUUCUCUGCAACUUCUCUCUGUUGUUCCUUUUCUGAGUCUGGGUUCAAGAAGAAUAAAUCCCAUUUAUUUUUUAGACUCCAGCAGCCCUUUUUAGUCUGGAGCAUUCUUCUACUCCCGUUCCUUCCUUCCUCUGGUCAUUUUCUUUUAAAACCUCUUAGAACAGAUCAGCCAUGUCCAUUCCUUUAUUCUGCUCUGCAGGCAGGUAGAAGAGUAAGGCAGUAAAUGGACUGCUGUGCCUGGAAUCAGGAGAAACCUGAGUCCAAAUCCUGUGAUCCCUUAAUCUCUCAUCACACUGCCUCAGUUUCCUCAAUUGAAAAAUAUGAUAACCUUUAAGAGUUACUGUGAGGAUCAAUUAAGAUACUUUUUGUAAAGCACUCAGCACAGUCCUUGGCAUAUUAUGGUACCUUAAUAAGUGUUUUAUUUUCUUCAUCAUGGUCCAACAACCUUGUCAUUCUGGAACAUUUCUUCUCCCAUACUGCCGUCCAACACUGGAAGAUCUCUUUGCUAUUAGUCCUUAGAUUGGUCAUUUCCUUUAAGAACCUCCAUUUAAAGGACGGAUACCUAGUCUGGCCAUUUUCACUUCUUUUUGCCACUUCAGGACCUGCUCCUGACUCUGAAGACUUAACCUCUCCCCCUCCUUUUAUAUGCUGUUUUCUCUUGUCAGAAUGUAAGCUCCCUGAAAGAAGAGAAUUCCUUUUUAUUCUGGUUAUAUCUACAGCAUUUAGAAUAAGUGUCUAGGCUAUGGUAACUGCUUAAUAUAUAAUGUUCAUUAGCUUUUCCAUUUGACGACUUUUCAAAUAAUUGGAACUAUUGCCUGUCACUACCACCCCCAACAUAUUAGAUAAACUGUUUCCUUCUAAUCUUCUCUUGUUCCUUUUUUUCUGCUAUAGUGUCUCCCCCAAGUAAAAGGUCCUGGACUCAAUCAUCGAUGUUAGAGGGGCUGUAGAAGGAUAUUGAAUGAAUUUUUGGUGGAUCUAUGAAUCAGGACAGCCAAACUGGAAAGCAAUUUGGAAUUAUUUGAAUAAAGUGAGUAAAAUGUCCA